UUUGGUUGGAGCUCCCUACGUACCUGAGGCCUUUCAAAGUCACAUCUUUUGAAAUACGUGGUCUUAGCAAAAUCCAUUUGAAAUGAAGUCUCAGAGCUGACAAGCAGUGAUUUAUCACAGAACAGAACUGAAAGAGGACAUACAGUUCUAGCAGGAAGAGAUGCAAGAGAAUCCCAGCAAUAGGAAAGUGAUGAAGACCUGACUCUGAGUUGUUUUUGCCCUUAAGCUGGUUGCUCCUGCUUUCCAAACUCAGUGACUUUGAGUGCGUCUAUUUUCCUCAUGGUAGCAAAACCAGCAAAAGCAAAACUCAACACCAAACAGGACUGCCUUUCUGAAUAAUCACAGAUUACUUAGCAGUGUUCUGAAAAUGUUAGCAGAAAGGCAGGGCGUGUGGAGAACACGGAGUGCUGCACAGAACGUUAAUACGUGACCUGUGACAGAGAUGCACUCAGGACCGCUAAAAGCGUAAGGACAGGAAAAUGAAUGGUGAAGAAGAUGGCAAUCCUUUGAAAAAUUAAUCCUGGCUGAGUUAUUGCCUAAAGUAAAGCAUCAGGAGUCAAAAAGCUCUGACUGCAGAGGAGGAGGCACUUAGGCAUGAAGUUGAAAAUCUCACUUUUACCGUAUCUGCUGUAAAACACUAUGGAUGGAGCUGGUUGUGGUAUGAAGUGUUAAGCUGAAAGGCAUCCCAGCUUUUCUGAUGAAGAGGAAGGGAGCUGUGGGUAUUUAAUCACCCAUGGGUAGCCAGAAAUUAUAUAGGAAACUGUAAUGGAUACUGGCAUCUAUUUAAAAAAAAAAAAAGCAUUGCAUUUUCCUUCCCCCUUCUGCACCUAUGCUGUGCGCCCCCAGCAUCAUCUGUCUCCCUGAGAGCACCGAUGUCCUCUCCAUUCCUUGAUUUCCUUUUAAUGAUAUAUUUUCAUUCUCCUGACAAAAGCAGAAAUCUUAUUAACAUCCUACCAACAUAACUUGAGUCUAUGCUUCUGUACCUCAGGCCAGGAGGUGCAGAGUCUCAACAGAACAUAGGGAGAAAACACACAGGAGCCUUUUUUUUUUUACACUAUUUACACUGAGAUGGCUGGAUGCUUUGCCACAGCCCUUUACUGCCAUUCCUGGGGCUGAAAUCUGCACCUGGCAACUCUGAAGCCACCCAUUCCUAUUUAACCUCUUUUUCCCCUGGAUAUCUGUUUGAUAUCUGUACAGCUUAACUUUCUCAGG
ensembl:lncRNA